rnacentral:sRNA from 1 species
UUUUAAAAUGAUAACUCUUUAAUAAAGAUAACGAUUAAAGUUGAAAAGAUUAAACUCAUGAACAAAUUCAUCCAAGUGAUUAGCCUAAUUAUUAGCGUGGUGGUGAUUAUUAUCCCACCGUGCGGGGCUGCACUUGGACGACGAAAGCUGAAAUAAUAGCUAAAUCUUACGAGAACCCCGCACCGAAAGGCGCGGGGUUUUUUUUGACAUAAAAUUCUAGCAAACCAACAAAAAUA